CCUACGGGAGGCAGCAGUGGGGAAUCUUGCGCAAUGGGCGAAAGCCUGACGCAGCGACGCCGCGUGAGUGAUGAAGGCCUUCGGGUUGUAAAGCUCUGUGGGGAGAGACGAAUAAGUAGGGGUCAAUACCCUCUGCGAUGACGGUAUCUCCUUAGCAAGCACCGGCUAACUCUGUGCCAGCAGCCGCGGUAAGACAGAGGGUGCAAACGUUGUUCGGAAUUACUGGGCGUAAAGCGUGUGUAGGCGGCUUUGCAAGUCGGAUGUGAAAGCCCCGGGCUCAACCCGGGAAGUGCACUCGAUACUGCAGAGCUUGAGUGUCGGAGAGGUUGGUGGAAUUCUCGGUGUAGAGGUGAAAUUCGUAGAUAUCGAGAGGAACACCGGCGGCGAAGGCGGCCAACUGGACGAACACUGACGCUGAGACACGAAAGCGUGGGGAGCAAACAGGAUUAGAUACCCUGGUAGUCCACGCCGUAAACGAUGGGUNCUAGGUGUCACGAGCUUGUACUCUCGUGGUGCGUACGCGUACGACGUACG
rnacentral:rRNA from 1 species